rnacentral:rRNA from 1 species
AUGGAUGAGGAACUGGACGAUGUCGUGAUCGGGGCAGAGGAGGCGAAGUCUUUCAAUGAGAAGGCGGGGUGGAUGGCAAUUGCGAGGGUGAAUACCAAUCGGAACUUUAGUCCGACAGCUUUUUCAGAUAAUAUGAACUUCAUCUGGGGCUUGGUUUGGACUCCGGAAUUCAGAGAGGCUGGGGAAAACUUAUUCAUCUUCAAGUUCUUCUGCCUAGGGGAUUGGAAGAAGGUAGUUCAUAGAGGGCCGUGGCUGUUCAGAGGAUUGGCGGUGGUGGUCGAGGAGUAUGAUGGGAAGGCGGAUCCAGAAUCGGUGGUGCUAGAUGGAUUGUAUGUUUGGGCACAAAUCCAUAAAAUUCCAGAAGUUUACCGCCAUGAACCGGUGGUGGAUCAGCUUGCCCGAAGAAUAGGGAAAGUCAAGGAGGUUCAGAUGAGACCAACGCUCUUCUACGAGGGGGACUAUGUGAGGGUUAGAGCUAGGGUUCUUACGAAAAACCCUUGA